rnacentral:rRNA from 1 species
UACGGAGGGGGCAAGCGUUAUCCGGAUUUACUGGGCUUAAAGGGUGCGUAGGUGGGUUGGUAAGUCAGUGGUGAAAUACUUUCGCUUAACGAAGGAACUGCCAUUGAUACUACCAGUCUUGAAUACAGUGGAGGUAGGCGGAAUGCGUCAUGUAGCGGUGAAAUGCUUAGAUAUGACGCAGAACACCAAUUGCGAAGGCAGCUUGCUACACUGUUAUUGACACUGAGGCACGAAAGCGUGGGGAUCAAACAGG